rnacentral:lncRNA from 1 species
GCUUUCCGACGGGAGCCCCGGGACAACCGGCUGCUUCUGAGGAACCAGCCUUACAGAUUAAGGCUUCCCGCGUUCUCAAAUUCACACGCAUGUGCCCCCCUCCCUCCCGACUCGUGUGAAUCUUUGAGGAUAGCGGCGGCAGCGGCAAUUGCUCCACGCUUCUUGUUCGACGUGUCCCCGCAAGCCCAGAGCAGCCUCUUUCGCUCUCCGGUUUCUCCCGCAACUUCAAUGCGUAUUGCGCGUCAGUUUGGCCUGGGGAAAAACGCGUGACAAGGAAAAGGAGGUGGAGAAAAAUAAUAGUACUUUUUUUAAAAAAAAAGUUAAAGCACGUUUUGCAAAGCAGUGAAAAGUAGAUUCGGCUAGGAGAAGGAGGAAGGGUGUGUAGCUGUCUGUGUUAGUGUUCGGGUUGCGGAAACUGCCCUCUGCAUUCGGAUUCCUUUUUGGAGCGGCGGGGAGAGAACAGCCGCGCUUGGGGAACGGAGGAAAUUCCCUCCGCUACGAGGCGGCGGCGGCUGCAGCAGCAGCGGCGGCGGCGAAACCAGACGGCCGCUGCGGGGACGCCGCUAGAGCCUGCUUCUCUGGAAUGAGGAACCAGCUGGCGCCUUCCUUGACACCAGCCUCGGCAGGCCGCGCCAGAACCGCGUGCGGAGGAGCCGCGCAAAACUUGACAAGGUAAAACCACACGGGGAACUUCGAGUCGUUGCGAGCUCCAGACUUCGUGCGAGGGGCAACGCGCAUUGCUUCCCAUCAUGCGAAAUGCUGCGAGGCAGACCAGUUCUUUUUGGCCCCUGCAGAGUCGGGGCCCGUGAACGUCUGCCCUUAAAUCCUGACCUGGUGGCGCCACUGGAGCCGCGGCGGGAGCGGGAGGGGUUCGCUUUCUCUUGGUUGUCUGAAGGGGUGGGUUACCUCUAGACUUUGAAAAGAACAGUUAAUUUUCUCUCUCUCUUUCCCCCCCCCCCCCGCGCCCCUAAGCUUCAAUAGAUCAAAUGCCGUUUAUAUAUCUAUAUAACCCAACGGGUUUAUUUCAUAAGGGCUGGGGAAAGAGUUCUCUGGCUGAAGAUCCCUGGGGUGACAGCCCCACAGAACUCAUGCAGGCUUAAGCCCCGGAUCCACUGAGUGAUUUAUGUGAAAGACCCAUCGGUGCAGUGGAACUGACUCCUGAGCAUGUAUAGGACCGGGAGGUUGUGUAGGCUGCAGAGGUCAGACUUAUUAAACUUCAUUAGGCUUUCAGUAAUCUCAAUUUUUUUCAGGCACAGCAUGGCCCACCUUAACAACAACAACAACAACAACAACAACAACAACAAUAAUAAUAUGCAUUUAAGGACCUAUUUCUUCUUCUUUAUAUGGUAAUGGUACUGCUGUUGUUGUGACCACCUUAGAUCAAGUCCUGGAGGACCAGUACCUCCCCCCCAGCCCGGCCCACCCAUCUUCUAUGCUAUUGUCAGCCCUAUUGGAUCCAAGUAAACAUGUAUAGGAUCAAGUUGCAAGCUCAUACAUACACCUGUGGCAUUUAACUCAGUGGGAUUGACUUCUGAGCCAACCUUCAUAUGAUUAGGAGGUAGACCUAAUGAGAUCAAUUAAUCCCUAACUUUGGGCGUUGUGUGCCAUAAAUUUUGAGUAAGCCCUAUUGACCAUAAGUGGGAUGUGCUUCUGAGUAAACUUGCUAUGAAGACUGAACUAUAAACACACUGGCUGGUGAGUCCUGUUUACUUUUUAGCAAACAUGCUUAAAGUUCUGGUGUUAUCUAGCUGGGAACCUCUCAAAACCCCCCCCCCCCCCCAAUUUAAGGGCAGAUGGACAGAAGGGCAGCUGCUGCAGAUGGAAUGUGUGUAUGCAGUUUUGGCUGUCUCUUUUUAAAAAGCACCUGGAAGCACCUUAUUUGAAUAUCUGCUAGCUCCUCCCUCCCACCAUCUGAAAACUUAUCAGAUGCAGACCUAGAUGGCUUGAUUUAACAUCAACAUCCUUUUCUCUUUCUCUCACCCAUCCCAGCUUUUUAAACAUCCACUCCUGAUGAAGGGUUCUGUGGAAGUCAAAGGUUUGGUGACAUUUUGCUUGGCCUAAUAAAAGUAUUGACAUAAUAAGGGUUUGGGAAUUUUUCUAACAUGCCAAAACAGCUAGCACUGAUCUUUAAAAGUGAGUGUCUGUUUUGCUUCAUAAUCAAUGCAUUGCCUUGUGGCACAUCCAAAGUGGACAAGUUCAUUGUAAGUUCAUUUUUUCAGUUUGUGUUAAUUUUUAUUAAUUAGCUCCCAACUUUGAACAUCAACUGACAGCUAGUACAGGGCAUGCACCACUACUCCCAGUACUCCUUCCUGCAUUCCAUUAUUGACUUGUGAAAUUUUCUGCUGCAAUUGGUGGCAAUGACUACAGACUGGGGAUGCUCCCAUCAGCUCCAUCCAGCAUGUUCAGUGGUAAGCAAUGAUGAGAACUAUAGUCCAGAAAAAAACUAGAGGAUGCCAUGUUGGCUAUCCCCUGCUUUAGGCUGAGAGGUCUUUCUUUAAGGGUUUUUACAAAUUUGUGCAGCAGGUGAUUUUUAUCACUGGCUGUUAACCAUAAUGUCUAAAUGGAGCCAUUCUGUUGAGAGGCAGUCUACCUCUCAAUAACAGUUGUUAAUGGGCUAAUGGUAGAAGAGGACUGUCUUUUUCCCUUCAUCCUUUAAGCUUGUGGGCUUCCCAGCAGCAUCUGGCUUGCCACUGUGAGAAACAGAAUGCAGGUCUAGGAACACAACUGGUCUGACAAAGUCAGCGGGUAGUUCAUUUACUUAUCUGCCUUUUGUUUCUCCCUCACUUACAUCUAUGUGCAUGUAAAGCCUUCUACACAGGGAUGGCAGAUGAAAUGUAUCCAGAAACUUGAUUUUGAAUAAAUGUGCAAUUAAUUGUUCCCUUUUUGAAUGUUAUUCUGUUGUUAUCUUCCUUAGUGGGAUGUGCAAAUCGCUAUUAUAAAUAAUGUUUUUUGUAGGGUGGGGGUCAUUGAGGAUUAAUUUAUGGAAUCAAGGGGCAAUGGUUUUUGGGAACAAUCAUAUGCAUGUUUACUCAGGAAUGCGUCCCACUUUGUUCAGUGGGACUUCCUCUCAGGUAAGCGUGGAUAAGAUUUGAGCUUAAAUGAUGAAGAGGCAGAAACUCGAGUCACGCUCCAAUGGAAUGUCAGUUUUGCAAAUGGCCAGACUCUUAGGGUGACUGAAGGCUAUGUUUGCAAUACCCAUGUCAGUAAUUCUCAGUUAAAAACAGGCCUCUUCCUCUCUAUAUGCAGCACUGAUGACAUUCAUACAUUUUCAGAUUACUGUAUAAGGGAGAGGCUCCACCUUUUUCAUGUCUGAUUUUCUGUGUGAAAAUGGUCCAGAUCUAAAUGCUGAAGAUUUUUGCUCUCACUGAGUAUAUAUUAGAGUACUACAAGUAUUCUAAGCCCUUAUAGAUCAGAUGAUAACACACAGUGAAUAUAUAUUUAAUGUAUUUUGAUUUGCAGGUGUGUGACUUAAUGGUCUUUGAGGUUUUGUGGUUACCUGACUGUACUCCAAGCAUAACAAACCAGGCCUUGCACUUUUAUACAGUGGGAAUAUGCUGCUUUGGAGCACUUAAAAUAUAUAGAGAUUUAUAUACAUGUGGCUCAAGGAACCAACAAGUGAAAGCAAUCCUGCCUCUUACUUUCACCUAAUAAUAUGGUGUACCUUUUACAGUCACGUAAUAAUACAUCACAUAAUAGGCUGUUCUGGUGAGCAAAGUGUAAAAUUAGGUUGUCUCAGUACACCUUAUUCUAUAAUAUACCACAAACUGGAGAAUCUGCCUGCUUUCUCCUGCUAAACUAUGUUGCUGGUGCAGAGUUCUCUUCCAGAGCUGUGAGGGAUGUGAAAGUUACAUAAGAGCAGCCUUCCCCAGACUGGUGCCUCCAGACAUUUUGGACUAUGACUCCCAUCAGUCCCAGUGGUGUCUGGGAGGUGUCCUGGUGUCUGGAGGACACCAGGUUGGGGGAGGCUGUAAAGUGUGUUCCCUGAUGAAGCCUACCAAAUGUCACCUUUCCCCAAGGACUUGCGAGGUGAAUCUGAUGCUGUAUCCCCUUCUUUAGAACCUUUGGGCAUCUUCUACACCAUCCUGUUUUGGGGAACUGCAUUUGCCUAACAUUUUACAUUUGCCUCUCGUUUUUCAGAGCAUCUUGAAAUAUUACUAUAGAGACAUGCAGGUUCCUUGCGAUCCUAUGUCCACUGUAAUUGUCUCUGUAAUUCUUUUAGACUUUCUGGGCAUCUGUGCCGCAGGCGGCAAUUCCCCCAGCGAAUGCAGCCACCAUGUUGCUUGUGUGCAGUGACACUCGGUUGUUGCUCUGCUGUGCUUAGGUAAUAUAGCUGCUCAUUUGCAAUUGCUCUGGCUUGACCCCUUCUGAAUUGUGUAUCCGUUGCCCUGGGACUUGAUUAUGAGCCCUCUGGAAGCCAAGCGCUUAACUGACAGGAGCCCUCCUUCCAAGGUGGGAACGUAUAGUAUACCCUGCACUGGUAUGGUUAGCAUUCCUCCAUUUAGCUUAUUGUAGUUCACGAAACCUUGUCCAAUUCCUUCUGCAGUGAUGAUGCUUCCAUCUGCUAGAUUGGGUUUUUUCUUUACUGUUAAGGUCUAACUCUGUAAGGAAGCUUCUGUUAAUGGCCAUGUGACUUGUUGCUCUAGUCCAGAGUCCGCACAUGAGCUGUGGGAUAAGUUUCCUUGUGUGGCUUUGAAGCACGCACUUCAUUGCUGUUAUGACUUUCUUACCUUAUCUUAAUAAUUGCUGUUACCUUAUCUUAAUAAUUGCUGUUAUGACUUUCUUACCUUAUCUCUCUGCCUUGUUUUUUGUGCAGUACUAUUUUUGUUAAUACUGUUGUUAGCACAAUUCACCCUCCUCUUUUUUCUUUUUAAAGUUCACUUCAUUCCCCCCUCUCUCUUUCCUCUUUCCUUGCUAGAUUUAC